UACGUAGGGACCAAGCGUUGUUCGGAUUUACUGGGCGUAAAGGGCGCGUAGGCGGCUUAACAAGUCACUUGUGAAAUCUCCGGGCUUAACUCGGAACGGCCAAGUGAAACUGUCAAGCUAGAGUGCAGAAGGGGCAAUCGGAAUUCUUGGUGUAGCGGUGAAAUGCGUAGAUAUCAGGAGGAACACCGGUGGCGAAGGCGGCAUCCUGGACCGGUAUUGACGCUGAGGCGCGAAAGCUAGGGGAGCAAACGGG
rnacentral:rRNA from 1 species